rnacentral:lncRNA from 1 species
CCGAGAUAAAGAUGGGGUUGGACCCAAUAACUGUUAGGUGAGGGAUCCAAUGACGGCUUUGCUCUCACUGAUGAAUGGUGGAUCAGACUUAACUGAAGAAUGUGCCAAUAACUAUUAGGUGAGGCCACAGGACUUAGAGACCAAAUCGCUGUAACAUGCUUGGACAAGCAUCUGGACAAAGAGUUAUCUAUGCAUUGAUAUAUGUGUCACCA